rnacentral:lncRNA from 1 species
CGUGCAUCCAAGUCAUUGUCAUCUUGGAAUGACAAGAGCCUCCGAACUGGUCUUCUGGAUGCCUCUCUUGCUCACCUGCAAUUCACAAAGCAGCUCAGAGAAUCUCUGAAAAGUGUAAAUUGGAUCGUGCCUUUCUACUUCCCUGCUUCCAGACCUCCUGUGACUUCUUGCUGUAGUUCAGGUGAGGCAGCCAUAUUGUGACCAUGAGGGAAAGACCAUGAGAACUGAAGGGAAAUGGACUCAGAACCCAGAUAUUGUAAGGCUCCUGGAGAAACCCUGGAAACAUCUACUUCUCAACGUUUUCGCUUGUGAGCUAAUGAAACACCCUAUGGUUAAGCUACUGUGAGUCAGAGUGUCUGUUAUUUACAGCUGAACACAUCCUGAUUCAAGGAGGAAAUAUAUAAAUGUGCAGCAGAUAUGACUUCAUCUCCAAUUUGCUGCCCCUUGAGAGUAUGGCGACCCAAUUUUCCUCUGUUAGGAUAUUCUUUCUCUGCAUCCUCCACAUGCUCCCCUCUGAAGCUUAGAUAUUGUCUUCUCUGGAUAGCCAACUUCCAAGUCCCAGGCUGGAUCUCACACCCCUCCACUGAACUGUCUUAGUCCUGCAUACACCUGCUUUCAUAGCAUAUGUCACAUGGUCUUGUAAUGGCAACUUUUCCACAAGAUGUGUGCUCUGUGAGGGCAGGAAAGAAGAAGAGAAAAGGGAGUCAGUGAUAUCAACCUCCUCAGCAGACUUUCACUUUUAUCUCAUUGCCCAGACCUACCACAUGGUAGGCACCCUAGCUGCAAGGAAGGCUUGCAAAGUGACGAUUUCACCCUUCCAACUUCUAUAGUGGAAGACACGCAAAGGAGAAGAGUACUGGGAAUGGAAGCAUGGGUUGGCCACCAAGCAGCAUUUGCCACAAAUGACAAAAUAUUUUAAGUUCUUUGAUGUUUUAGCCAUAACAUUAUUUUUAUUUUUUUCUAAAUGGGAAUAUUUUAUUAUUUUUUCCUAACUCUAAAAGCAACGAAGCUUGUUUUAAAAAUUGAAACCUUAUGGGUUAUGGAGUGAGGUUCCUAAAAUCUUUUUCCUUUAGAUAUAAUCUUAUGAACAAUUAAAUCUAUGUAUUAUUUUGGCAUAAAAUAUUUUUUGUCCAAGCAUAAAAAUAUUUUAGACACUUAUUUGUAAAAGUGGGUUAUAUAACAUAUACUGUUUUGUUAUCUACUUGUUUUUUUUUUAACUUAAGACUAGCAUGGCCAUUGUACAUAGUUAUACAAAUAGAGAUGACUUAACCUUUUUUAACAGUGGGAUAAUUUCAGUAUUAGUUAUCUAUUGCUAUAUCAUAAAUUACCACAAACUUAGUGGCUUAUAACAACACAUAUUUAUUAUCUCACAAUUGCUGUGGGCCAGGAAUCUGGGCUUUGCUUAGCUGCAUUCUCUGUUUUAGGGUCUCUCAUUAGACUGAAAAGUGUCUUCCAGGAUUGAGUUAUCUUCUGAAGGCUUGACUGGGGAAGAAAGAAUCUUGCUAUGGUUUGAAUGUCCCCUCCAAAACUCAUGUUGACAUUUAAUUGCCAUUGUGAUGGUAUUAAGAGGUGAGACCGUUAAGAGGUAACUAGGCCAUAAGGACUCUGCCCUCAUAAAUGAAUUAAUGUUAUCAUGAGAGUGUGUUUGUUAUUGCGAAAGUAGGUUAUUGUAAAAGCAAGUUUGGCUCUCUCUUCCUUGCUUGCUCUCCCUCAUGUGUGCCCUCUCACCCUUCUACCUUUUGCCAUGGGGUGAUGUGGGAAGAAGGCCCUUGCGAGUUGCUGGAAAUUUGAUAUUGGAUUUCUCAGCCUCCAGAACUGUGAGAAAUAAAUUUCUUUUCUUUGUAAAAUAU